ensembl:snRNA U1 U1 spliceosomal RNA
CUACUUACUUGACAGGGGAGAGACCAUGAUCAUGAAGAUGAUUUUCCCAGGGUGAGGCUCCUCCAUUGCAUUGUGGAUGUGCUGACCCCUGCAAUUUCCCCCAAUGCGGGAAACUUGACUGCAUUACUUGUGGUAGUGGGGGACUGUGUUUGUGCUCUCCCUUG